UUUAGGGAGACCUACCCACUCUGUAGAAGCAGCGCAGUAUGAAGAGUACGAGCGCAAGAUUUUUGCAAGAGUUGGUUAUCCCAAGGUCGAGCAGGAAUGAGUGAAGCUGUCUUCUAAACUACACCAGGUUAAAUAACGAACAAACAGCUAAGCGAGUCUAGAGACCGGUAGCAGUUGUUUGAGAUGGAGUAGAGUCUAGCAAUUGAUCUAGCGAGGGAGUUAGACAAGUUGCUGGAUUAAGCUCCAGCAAGGCACCUUGAAAACUGCAUAGUAGAAGAAGUCAGGUAGAAGAGACUGAGCCUUAUUCAGCGUUCUGAGCGAGGGCAACGAAGAUUUGCAAGAGUCAAGUUGUACCGAGUGAGGGAUUGGUGAAGAAGGAGCAGUUAAGAAAACAGACAUUCAAGAGAGAA
rnacentral:misc_RNA from 1 species